AGCAGCCGCGGUAAUUCCAGCUCCAAUAGCGUAUAUUAAAGUUGUUGCAGUUAAAAAGCUCGUAGUUGAAUUUCGGGGUUCUACCAUUGGUCGGGCAAUAGUCUGUACUGGUGUGUAGAAUUUCUACCUUCUGGGGAACUAUCAUGUUAUUUAUUUAGCGUGGUAGGAAACCAGGACCUUUACCUUGAAAAAAUUAGAGUGUUCAAAGCAGGCUUACGUCUGAAUACAUUAGCAUGGAAUAAUAAAAAUAGGACGGUGGCCCUGUUUUGUUGGUUUCUGAAUCACCGUAAUGAUUAAUAGGGAUAGUUGGGGGCAUUAGUAUUCAAUUGUCAGAGGUGAAAUUCUUGGAUUUAUUGAAGACUAACUUCUGCG
rnacentral:rRNA from 1 species